UGAGCGAAGGCAACCAAUUUUCAAGUAUAGAUUUCUACAAUUUUUUUUUUUUUUUUGCUAAGGUACUUGCAUUACAAUGCGGCUUCUUCCUCCACCCCCACACAUCCCCAGCAAGUAAAGAUCCGUGUUCUUGUUUGUUGUCCAUUUCCUUAUUGUUGCUGCUGUGUCUAAUAGUUGGUUAAGUGGAGGCUCCCUUGUGAUCUUAUGAAAGUGAAGUGUCCCACCAGUUUGUUUGCGACUGGUCAGGUCAAGAAAAUUCUGACCUCUGAUCUGCUACACUCUAGAGGCCCAUGAGUGAUGUCACUGGCUUGCCCUGUUAACAUUUUGCAAUGGUGCUAGCCUUUUAUUUGUUUUUAGAAAAUGGCUGGGGAAACUUAGAAGCUCUCUACUUGUCCAUUUUAAGAUCAUUGAUUUGUGCUGCCAAAGAACUCUGUGCACAGAGUUGCUCUUUCAUCUCCAGAUACACAACAAGAACCACCAAUAUCAAGACUGUGGUCUAGGCAGAAAUUAUCUCAUAAAACCUCUUGAACUCCGUUGAUACUCCAUUGUGCUGGUUUUGGAGCACUUGAAAUCCAAUAGGCGGUAAUGUAAUAUUGGAAUAGAGAAAAAGCAAAGGAUAGGAAUCAGAGAAUAGAUCAUUUCUGCCAUUUUACAUUCUUUUUUCAACCCCAUUCUCUUAAGAAGUGCUAGUUUACAGUUUCCAUCAUCCACAGUCAGCAUAUGGAAAACAUUCUCAAAAGCCAACCCAGGGAGAAGCCAACCUGUCUCUUCCCCUCCAGGGCACCAGUCGGGAAGCUUUGUAUCCUUCAUUGCUUUUGCUUUUCAAAUGGACUCUGAGUGGCAAGUUUCACUGUAUAUGGUGAUUUUCCACAAUGGGAAGCACCUUUCAGUACCUGUUAUCUAGCUCCGGAUUGAAUAUUAACAAACCUCCACCUCCUGUUGUCUGCCCAGGAGGUUUUGCCUUUUAGGCUUUUGUCUGCUUUCCAGAAGGCUAUGGGGCACCAGGCACUUUCUUCUUUAAAGGCAGUGAGUUAAUCGGAUUACUGUAGGGACUGACAGAAUGGUGGGUAUUUUGAUUCUUUAAAAAAAAAUGGGUGCAGGGGUCCUGAGGCCACAGCACCUAAAAGGAUGACCUACAUAGACCAAUGGUUUGCCUGAUGAUGCUAAUUUCCUUCUCUAAGGGGCUUGCUUUGGCUUCCUCCUCAGAAAGGAUGUCUGCCAUGUCCUAAUUGAGCCUGCUUGCUGACACUCUUGCAGCUUAAAACACCUUGACAGGUAAGCAGGACUAAGUGGAAUUGCCAGCCAAGCAAGAUUAUGAAUUGGCUUGAUCCUCUGGUUUAUUAGUUGCACAUAAUGACUGACAUUCAGCAGCAUAGAAACACUGGGUGGCAAACACAUAUAUGGAGAAAGCUCUAAGGGAUCUUCUACAUAAGAAUAAGAAAUAGAAUAAACCUUGUUCCUGCAUAUUCAUCAACAAUGAUCUGUCACAGCACUUUAGUUUUACCGGACUGUUUAGAAAUGGGUACUAUCAAAUAAAUGUCAAGUGGACCUGUAAAAUGGGUGUCUGAAAACACCUUUCCUAGCCAAUUAAUUUCAUAAAGUAGGGGGAUAGUUCAUAGAGUCGAGAUCCCUUUAGGGCUGAAUUUGAGGCCGGUACUGAAAAAUGCCAGCACGUGUUUUCAAUAUCAGGGCUGAGAUCUGGUGUGUGUGAGCUAGAGACAGAUGUUUUUCUUCUCCUUCUGAGAGCUGGAAAUAGUGUGAUAAAGCUUCACUCGCAGCUUCCCCUCCUCCAUGCCACAGCCUUGCAUCAGCUUAACAAGGUUUUCAGGUUUUACUGUUAUAGUCCUGCAAACCUGAUUGACCGGAGGUCAUAAAAGGACAGAACAAAUGAAGGUGGGGUGAGCUCUUAAAUAAAGCAACCAUCUCUCUCCUCAGUCUUUUAAAGAAAAGUAUUUUUCAAUUGCUGUGGAGUGCUUUUUUCUUUUACUCACAUCUACCUACCUGCCCAAACUUGGCUGGAAUUAUGCAGCAACACUUUGGGGGGGUCAGAGGGUUUGAUUCUUAAGAGCCCUCAGCAGCUCCAUGUUAAGAGCACGCCCCACUUUGUUCCUUCCCUCCGUGGUACUAGUGAGUAGAAUCCUGACCCUUUUUUUGAAUUUUUAUGUUCCUUUUUUUGGCCGACACGUAUGGCAAGCCAUUCCAAACAGUCCGAGCAAUUUGAGGGAACAAUGGCUUAAUCUAAAAGAUCGUGGCUGAGCAUGGACCGCUGCCAAUCUCGCGGAGUCCUCCCCAACUUCUUCUGGUGAAAACGAGAGCCUCCGGCCAGCUCUGCCUGGUAAACAGGGAGCGCAUUUGUGCAGGCGCGCCGAGUAAACAGUGCCUGGCAAACAGACCACCGGCUUGGCUGUGGCUGUGAGCAGAAAACCUUCCACUUCUCAGCACUUAGCAACCGAGCCAAGCGUUGUUCGCCGCCGCGCUUUCUCCCGGAGCCAGGCAGGCAGGCAGGCUCGAUUUGAUUUACAUUCUUGUUAGGACGCAAAGCUUUCGCUUGGCAGUUCAAGGGCAGGACAGGAACCGUGCAAGCGGAGUCUUGUGAACGGAAAUCUCUCAUUUACAAGGUUCUGCUCCGUCACCGAAAGCCACCCUCGAGCACAUUUGUUCCGCACGCAGCUCCCUUUUAUCUUCUUCACUCGCUCCUUCUUCCCACGGCUCGAAAGGCGGCGAGGGUUGGGGGAGGGAGCCGGCGUGGGGAACUACAAGCAAAUGCUACAGAAGCAAGUGAGCUCGGCUUGGCCUCCCGCUUAGGCCCAGGGCAGGCAGAAUGUAAAUAGGAAAACGAGCUCCGGCUCCACGCGUAGACGAGAGUCUCCAAGGCCAGACAAACAGAACUCAAGCACGUGAUCAGGCUACCCUGCAAGUCUGUGAAGGCGGCGAAAGGGGGGAGGGAAGAAUCUUCCCCCCCACACACACACACACCGCUUCGAGGCCUCGGAGCAAGGAGACGCUUGGAUAAAUUCUGAUGGAAGGCCAAGAGCCAGGAGGCCUGGGCUAUUUUUGUAGCUACCACAUCUCCAGAUUUCCUCUCUGGCCUCUGAAGAAACAUGUCAAUAAGAAAAAGUCAGCUGAGUGUUAUUAUCAAAUUGUGAUGUAUUUCUACAAGGUAUUACUUUGGGAGCAGGAACUGCUGUUACAUCUUCCUUCUUCUCAAGAACUCGUCAAAAUUCUUCAGAUUCCAUGAUAUCAGUAUCAAAAUAAAUAUUACCACACAUUCUACUAGAGAGACAUUUCCUUAGGAUGGGCUCCAGCACAAGAUUGACAGCUCGGAAGAUUAAACUUUUGAUCCUGUUGACUGACACAGAUUGGAUCCUGCAACAUUAUCCUUGGACAUGCAUUCGAUGGCCACUAUGUUGAAACAACCUGCUACUUUCACCGCUCUUCAGUGGGUGCUGUAUAAGAAUAUUUGGGCCCUGGCUGACUGAAAAAUCUUCGCACCAAUAUGGUUGUGCUUAAAGCAGCAAUAUCCCCCCCCCCAUGCCAACCAUUCUUUUCUUGUAAAGCAGAGUUUAUGCAAACAAUCAUCCAAUUCAAGGCAAAGGAACCAGAGCUCCUGGCUAGCAGCUUCCCUGCUGGAAAAAAAAAUUAAACUCAAAAGUAGUUGCAGAGAUUGUUUAUGCUGGCGCUUUCCUAUAUGCAGGAAACAGGCCUCUGCAGCAGAGAAAAGAGGACAUGAUUCUACUCUGGGCUGGCCCAUAAUCUUUGCUCAGCUAAGCUUUGAUAAAUAUCAUUUCAUGGUCAUUGCUUGAGAUGAAAAGUUCUCUCUGUUCAAUGUUGGGUGAUACAUAAAGUUUCUUUAAAAACAGUUUAUCGUUUUUUGAUUAAAAGGGUAGCAAAUCAAUUUGAAAUAGUAGUUUUCCUUUUAAAGAAAAAAGUGCCACUAUAUUUGGAAAUUAAAUGCCUUUUAUGGGAUGGGUGGCGCAUGCCAUUAAAUGUGUGAUACAGAGGAACAAGCACAUGAUCCUGAGUUUCCUUUUACCCACUCAGUGCAGAUCUGCUCGCUAGGAGAACUCAUCUCUCACUGACUUCCAUGGACCUUAGUUCAGAAACAACGGGCCCAUAGGCUGCUGCCUUCAAAUUAUUCCAUAUAACUCGCUAUUCCAUAUAAUAUGGUACAAUAUUAUGGUAGUAUCAAUCCCCGGUAAUCCAUUCUACCACUGAGAGAGCACUGCUCAGUGCACUGGCUUGGAAAUGGCGGGUGGGGAGGAAAUUUUCCUAGGCACAACUCUGUUCUGACCUCCAGCUUCCAAUCCCUGUUAGUGGAAAGCAAAGUUGCUCGGCUAAUUUUUUAUGAGGAGAAGGGAGACUGUAUUUUAAAAUUAGCUGCGAGGCUAGGUCCAGCUGACAGGAACAGCUACGACCCUUCCUGCCCCCUCCU